GCAUAUCAAUAAGCGGAGGAAAAGAAACCCAACAGGGAUUGCCUCAGUAACGGCGAAGUGAAGCGGCAACAGCUCAAAUUUGAAAUCUGGCUCUUUCAGAGUCCGAGUUGUAAUUUGUAGAAGAUGCUUCGGGUGCGGCCCCAGUCUAAGUUCCUUGGAAGAGGACGUCAUAGAGGGUGAGAAUCCCGUAUGUGACCAGGUGCCCGCGCCCAUGUGAAGCUCUUUCGACGAGUCGAGUUGUUUGGGAAUGCAGCUCUAAAUGGGUGGUAUAUUUCAUCUAAAGCUAAAUAUUGGCCAGAGACCGAUAGCGCACAAGUAGAGUGAUCGAAAGAUGAAAAGCACUUUGGAAAGAGAGUUAAACAGUACGUGAAAUUGUUGAAAGGGAAGCGCUUGCAAUCAGACUUGCGCGCCGUCGAUCAUCCCAGGUUCUCCUGGGUGCACUCGGCGGCGCUCAGGCCAGCAUCGGUUCUAGUGGUGGGAUAAAGGCCUUGGGAAUGUAGCUCCUUUCGGGGAGUGUUAUAGCCCUCGGUGCAAUGCCGCCUACCGGGACCGAGGACCGCGCUUCGGCUAGGAUGCUGGCGUAAUGGUUGUAAGCGACCCGUCUUGAAACACGGACCAAGGAGUCUAACAUCUAUGCGAGUGUUUGGGUGUCAAACCCAUACGCGUAAUGAAAGUGAACGGAGCUAAGAACCCUUUAGGGUGCAUUAGCGACCGAUCCUGAUGUCUUCGGACGGAUUUGAGUACGAGCAUAGCUGUUGGGACCCGAAAGAUGGUGAACUAUGCCUGAAUAGGGUGAAGCCAGAGGAAACUCUGGUGGAGGCUCGCAGCGGUUUCUGACGUGCAAAUCGAUCGUCAAAUUUGGGGCAUAAGGGGCGAAAGACUAAUCGAACCAUCUAGUAGCUGGUUCCUGCCGAAG
rnacentral:rRNA from 1 species